rnacentral:lncRNA from 1 species
AAGAUAUCACCAAUCUUGCUCAACAUAUAAUCACCAAUUUGUUGUGGGGGAACAUCGCCAAUUCAUAGAUGAUAAAUUUAGAGAUGACACUUUCACGACACACUAAACUUAUAAGAUGGGGAACACGUACAAUAUAAUAUCUCUUCCAAGUUCCAAAGUCAGUAAUCCUUAAACAUAUAGAGAACUCUCAAUCAACAAUACAAUCAAUCCUAUUAAAUUAUAUCAAAAUGAUCCAUCACACGAAAUUUGCAGGUUCGUGCGUUCACGUGAACUUAACAAAUCUGUGUGAUAGUACAAAAUUAACCAUCACACGAAAUUUAUAAGUUCGCAGCUCGCGCGAAUUGAACAAAUUUGUGUGAUAGUUGAGUUACAGAACUAUCACACAAAGAGUACAAAUUUGGACAACCGUGUGAACCUAUAAAUUUUGCGCAAACAUAAACUCAUACUUUUCUUGAGUAAUCAUC